UGAUAGUCCCGUACACCAAAAUGCACAGGUUGUGAACUCGAAGAGUAGGGCGGGACACGUGGUAUCCUGUCUGAAUAUGGGGGGACCAUCCUCCAAGGCUAAAUACUCCUGACUGACCGAUAGUGAACCAGUACCGUGAGGGAAAGGCGAAAAGAACCCCGGCGAGGGGAGUGAAAAAGAACCUGAAACCGUGUACGUACAAGCAGUGGGAGCACCUUCGGGUGUGACUGCGUACCUUUUGUAUAAUGGGUCAGCGACUUAUAUUCUGUAGCAAGGUUAACCGUAUAGGGGAGCCGCAGGGAAACCGAGUCUUAACUGGGCGUUAAGUUGCAGGGUAUAGACCCGAAACCCGGUGAUCUAGCCAUGGGCAGGUUGAAGGUUGGGUAACACUAACUGGAGGACCGAACCGACUAAUGUUGAAAAAUUAGCGGAUGACUUGUGGCUGGGGGUGAAAGGCCAAUCAAACCGGGAGAUAGCUGGUUCUCCCCGAAAGCU
rnacentral:rRNA from 1 species